rnacentral:rRNA from 1 species
UGGGGAAUAUUGCACAAUGGGCGCAAGCCUGAUGCAGCCAUGCCGCGUGUGUGAAGAAGGCCUUCGGGUUGUAAAGCACUUUCAGCGAGGAGGAAGGUGGUGAGCUUAAUACGCUCAUCAAUUGACGUUACUCGCAGAAGAAGCACCGGCUAACUCCGUGCCAGCAGCCGCGGUAAUACGGAGGGUGCAAGCGUUAAUCGGAAUUACUGGGCGUAAAGCGCACGCAGGCGGUUUGUUAAGUCAGAUGUGAAAUCCCCGGGCUCAACCUGGGAACUGCAUUUGAAACUGGCAAGCUAGAGUCUCGUAGAGGGGGGUAGAAUUCCAGGUGUAGCGGUGAAAUGCGUAGAGAUCUGGAGGAAUACCGGUGGCGAAGGCGGCCCCCUGGACGAAGACUGACGCUCAGGUGCGAAAGGCGUGGGGCAGCAAACAGGAUUAGAUACCCUGU